UCUCCGUUGGUGAACCAGCGGAGGGAUCAUUACAGGACUCGCAAGACUCCUUCACCCUGUGAACCUCACUACAAGCACGUUGCUUCGGCGGGAGUCCCGGCGGGGGUUUUCCCUCGCCGGGGCGCACAGCCCGCCGGCAGCCCACUAUACUCUGUCUCUUUGCGUUGGCAUCUCGAGAAAAAACAAACAAGUUAAAACUUUCAACAACGGAUCUCUUGGUUCUG
rnacentral:misc_RNA from 1 species